CUACGGGUCGCAGCAGUGAGGAAUAUUGCACAAUGGGGGGAACCCUGAUGCAGCAACGCCGCGUGGAGGAUGACGCAUUUCGGUGUGUAAACUCCUUUUAUAUGUCAAGAAAAUGACGGUAGCAUAUGAAUAAGCACUGGCUAACUCCGUGCCAGCAGCCGCGGUAAUACGGAGGGUGCAAGCGUUACUCGGAAUCACUGGGCGUAAAGGACGCGUAGGCGGGCUUGUAAGUCAGGUGUGAAAUCCUACAGCUUAACUGUAGAACUGCACUUGAAACUACGAGCCUAGAGUAUGGGAGGGGGAGAUGGAAUUAGUGGUGUAGGGGUAAAAUCCGUAGAUAUCACUAGGAAUACCUAAAGCGAAGGCGAUCUCCUGGAACAUAACUGACGCUAAGGCGUGAAAGCGUGGGGAGCAAACAGGAUUAGAUACCCCAGUAGUC
rnacentral:rRNA from 1 species